GAAUCUGUCAGUCAUGGCAUUUUUAACGAGGUUCCCAGUAGUUCUGAUGGUUAUAUACUUAACAGGUGUUGAUACACAGACUCUGACUGAGUCUGAACCAGCAGUUAAAAUGCCGGGAGAAUCACACAGACUGACAUGUACAGCCUCUGGGUUCACAUUCAGUAACUAUCCUAUGAACUGGGUCAGACAGGCUCCUGGGAAGGGACUGGAGUGGAUCGCUUAUGCAUAUAGCAGUAGCACUUACUACUCCCAGUCUGUUCAGGGCAGAUUCACCAUCUCCAGAGACAACGGCAGGAACCAGCUGUAUUUACAGAUGAACAGCCUGAAAGCUGAAGACACGGCUGUGUACUACUGUGCCAUGGAGAGACUGACCUCCAGCCCAGUAGCUGUUGACUACUGGGAUAAAGGCACCGAUGUCAUUGUCAGCAGCACCCUGUCCAGUAGGUCCUGUUUGGAUGUGACCCUGAAGCCCCCAAGGGUGAAAGAGAUGUUCACAAAUAACAGGGCUGUGCUGGAAUGCAUCAUCACAGGAGAGGAAGAGGCAGUAAAAGAAGCUGAAGUGACCUGGAUGUUGGACAGUGUACAGGUGACAGAGGAGAUUACACAGACCGGUACAGAAAAGGCAGGUCAUCUCUUCAGAAGGAGCAGCAUCCUGAAUCUGACAACAAAUGAGUGGGAAGGUGGCAAGACUGUGGAGUGCAGUGUGCAGAAGAUGGGUGGACCUACUACCGCAAAGACCCUCAGAUUUGGGCAAAAAGGUACGACGACACCUACGGUCUCCAUUCAAACACCAUCUCCUGAAGACCUUAAUGGAAAAAGUGAAUUCUUCCUGGUCUGCCUGGUAACAGGCUUCUAUCCCGAGGAAAUAUACAUCAUGUGGCAAGUAAAUGGGACACAGGAUGAGGAGGGUAUUACUGGAGAGCCACUGAAGACUGGGGAUAAAUACUCUGUCACCAGUGUGUUUAGGGUCUCAAAAGAGGACUGGGACAAAGGCAAGAGCUACAGCUGCAGUGCCAGACACGCAACUCAAAAGACAGACGAGAAACCUGCAUUGAAUUCUGUGUCCAAAUUAACGGGUAAAUCACUGGAAUGUCAGUGUGAAUAAUAAUGGAUUAUUUGUAGAUGCCACGGAGUUUCCUUAUACUGCAUAGUCACUGUUAUCUCAUGUAGACACAGGAAGGUCAGUGUAGUUUUACGUUAGACAUUCUAAUGUUGGUUAUAAACUUCAGCUUUUUCAGGAAGUCCACUCAUAGUUUUCAUUCAUGCAGUAUGACAAACCACAAUUUUUUUUCUUAACAUUUAACUUGUAUUCUGAAAUGUAUCAAUCAAUACAUUAUAUAUCUUUGGAGUUUUAAAAUGCCAUAAGCGUUUUGAAUUUUGAAAAAUAUUUUUUUACAAAUAUCAGGAACAACUAAAGACAAAAGUGAACCUGUUUUGUCUGAUCUCUGCUAACAUUGUUUAUGGUUUCCUGUGAUGUCAUUCUGUCGUAUCUGAGUGACGUGUUCCUCCUCCUGAUCUUCACUGUGUCUGUCUCUGUCCAUAAUGAUGUCAUCAUUCGUCUGCUCCCAGUGUUAUUGUCUCACUGCUUGGAGAUGCAAAUCUCAGAUGGCCUGAAGGUCCUCUGAAACCACCUCCUCUCACUGGAAUACUGUGACUCUCCUGUGCGGCAUUUAUGGAAAUAUUAAUAAAAGUUACUGCAUAUGAAA